CUGUUUUCCUUUGAGGAAUAUUGAUGAUCCCACUGCUUGAGUAAUGGAAACCAGCUUGCAGCUGAUAGUUAUUUUUUGUCUUUUUUCCUGUUCUAUCCACUGUCCUAGGUUUGGAAUUUCAGCUGGGCAGCUUCGAUCCCACCACCUGUAGCCACUGAGGUUCACAGGCUCUGUUUGAGGUGUUGUGUUAGAUUGUGCUGGGUUGGUUUUGCUGCUUAUUGAGUGAUGAAGAGCAACAUAUUAGCUACUGAGAUAUUUUGCAGAAAAAGGAAGAGAUGUCUUCAGCUCAAAUGCUAUCAAACUUGUAUGUCUUUGGUGCUGAAGACCCGGGACAGGAGGACUCCUUCAGGAGACGGGUCCCCUGUCCUUGCCCUCACUCCGUGAGGAGAUCCACCUACGACCUCGGGUCCUCAGACCAACCAGCCCAAGGAACAUCUCAUGAAUUUCAAAUCGGAUUCCCAACUAUAUGAAGACACCCUAGCUGGACGAUCAGUUCUUAUUAAGAACCUGACCCCUCAAACUCUACAACCUCGAUGGACUGGACCCUACUUAGUCAUCUAUAGUACCCCAACUGCCGUCCGCCUGCAGGAUCCUCCCCACUGGGUUCACCGUUCCAGAAUAAAGCUGUGCCCAU
rnacentral:lncRNA from 1 species